UACAGAGGGGGCAAGCGUUGUUCGGAAUUACUGGGCGUAAAGGGCGCGUAGGCGGCCGCCUAAGUCAGACGUGAAAUCCCUCGGCUCAACCGGGGAACUGCGUCUGAUACUGGGUGGCUUGGAAUUCGGGAGAGGGAUGCGGAAUUCCAGGUGUAGCGGUGAAAUGCGUAGAUAUCGAGAGGAACACCUGCGGCGAAGGCGGGUUGCUGGGCUGAUACUGACGCUGAGGCGCGAAAGCCAGGGGAGCGAACGGGG
rnacentral:rRNA from 1 species